rnacentral:ncRNA from 1 species
AAAAGAGGCAGUGCCGGCCGGCCUCGUCUGUCCUCCGGGGCACGAGUGCUGCGUUGGAGCAUACAUGCUGGGACCCGAAAGAUGGUGAACUAUGCCUGGGCAGGUUGAAGUCAGAGGAAACUCUGAUGGAGGACCGUAGCGAUACUGACGUGCAAAUCGUUCGUCGGAUCUGGGUAUUGGGGCGAAAGACUAAUCGAACCAUCUAGUAGCUGGUUCCCUCCGAAAUUUCCCUCAGGAUAGCUGGAGCUCGUGAUACGGAGUCUUAUCGGGUAAAGCGAAUGAUUAGAGGUAACGGGGAUGCAAUGUUCUCGACCUAUUCUCAAACUUUUAAUAGGUAAGAAGCGGGCGUUGCUUGUGUGAACGCUUCUCGCUUUGGAUCCAGAGCUCCAAGUGGGCCACUUCUGGUAAGCAGGACUGGCGAUGCGGGAUGAACCGAUAGCGGCGGUUAAAGUGUCCAAGUGUUUGCUCAUCAGAUACCAAAAAGGGUGUUGGUUCAUAUAGACAGCACGGCGGUGGCCAUGGAAGUCGGAACCCGCUAAGAAGUGUGUAACAACUUAUCGCGCCGAAUGAACUAGCCCCGAAAAUGGAUGACGCUCAAGCAAACCACUUAGACCGCGCCAUGGGGGUGAUUAUUAUUGUAAGAAGAAUACU